rnacentral:tRNA from 1 species
UGCGGGGUCGUCUAACGGUAGGACGUCUGGUUUUGGCCCAGAAAACUUCUAGGUUCGAAUCCUAGCCCCGCAG